AGAACGAACGCUGGCGGCAGGCCUCAAACAUGCAAGUCUAGGGGGUGUAGCAAUACAUCACCGGCGGACGGGUGCGUAACACGUGGGAAUAUACCUUUUGGUUCGGAACAACGCAGGGAAACUUGCGCUAAUACCGAAUGUGUCCUUACGGAGAAAGAUUUAUCGCCAAAGGAUUAGCCCGCGUCCGAUUAGCUAGUUGGUGAGGUAAUGGCUCACCAAGGCUCCGAUCGGUAGCUGUUCUGAGAGGAAGAUCAGCCACACUGGGACUGAGACACGGCCCAGACUCCUACGGGAGGCAGCAGUUGGGAAUCUUGGACAAUGGGGGAAACCCUGAUCCAGCCAUGCCGCGUGAGUGAUGAAGGCCUUCGGGUUGUAAAACUCUUUCGACGGGACGAUAAUGACGGUACCCGUAGAAGAAGCUCCGGCUAACUUCGUGCCAGCAGCCGC
rnacentral:rRNA from 1 species